rnacentral:rRNA from 1 species
GUACGCUGGCGGCACGCCUAACACAUGCAAGUCGAACGAAGUAGCAAUACUUAGUGGCAGACGGGUGAGUAACAUGUAGGUAUCUGCCCUUUGGCCUGGAAUAACACGAGGAAACUUGUGCUAAUACCGGAUAAGUCUUUACAGAGAAAGCUUUAUGCACCAUUGGAUGAGCCUGCACUUGAUUAGUUUGUUGGUGGGGUAAUGGCCUACCAAGACUGUGAUCAAUAGCUGAUUUGAGAGGAUGAUCAGCCACAUUGGGACUGAGACACGGCCCAAACUCCUACGGGAGGCAGCAGUGGGGAAUCUUGCACAAUGGAGGAAACUCUGAUGCAGCGAUGCCGCGUGAGUGAAGAAGGCCUUUGGGUUGUAAAGCUCUUUCGUCGGGGAAGAAA